rnacentral:rRNA from 1 species
UGAAUAUACCGGUUCUCGUUAGAUCACCGAAGUCAAGCCUGAUUGGGCGCGGUCAGUUGGGUGGGUGACUACCUGGGAACAAAGCGUGCC